CUGUGGCCUGGGUCACCUGUGUCGUCUUCUAGGUCUGUUUCCCCACCUGUAAAGUGGGACUUGGGUUGGCUCUGCUUGGCGGAGCGGGGUGGACCGAGAAUGUUCUGACCAGCUCUCGUCCUCACCACCCACAGGCACCACCUGUGCCGUGCCCGGCGCUACUGCCAUGACUUGGGUGAGCGCGCAGAGGCCCUGCAUGCCCAGGUGGAGCGGUUGGUGCAGCAGGCUGGCCGCCAGCCCGACUCCCCCACCGCCCUCUACCACUUCAACGCCUCUCUCUACCUGCUCCGGGUCUUGAAGGGCAACACUGCCGAGGGCUGUGUGCAUGAGACACAGGAGAAGCAGAAAGCUGGCACUGACCCCAGCCCCAUGCCCACGGGCCCGCAGGCUGCCAGCUGCUUGGACUUGAACCUGGUGACCCGGGUGUACUCGACAGCACUGAGCUCCUUCCUGACUAAGCGCAACAGCCCGCUCACAGUUCCCAUGUUCCUCAGCCUCUUCUCCCGGCACCCGGUGCUCUGUAAGAGCCUGCUCCCCAUCCUGGUCCAGCAUAUCACAGGCCCGGUGCGGCCCCGUCAUCAGGCCUGCCUGCUGCUCCAGAAGACCCUGUCCAUGCGGGAGGUGAGGUCGUGCUUUGAGGACCCCGAGUGGAAGCAGCUGAUGGGCCAGGUCCUAGCAAAGGUCACUGAGAACCUGCGCGUGCUGGGGGAGGCGCAGACCAAGGCGCAGCAUCAGCAGGCACUGUCCUCCCUGGAGCUGCUCAACGCUCUCUUCAGGACCUGCAAACAUGAGAAGCUGACCUUGGACCUGCCGGUGCUCCUGGGUGUGCUGCAGGCGCAACAGCAGAGCCUACAGCAGGGGGCACACUCCACUGGCCCCAGCCGCCUGCACGAUCUCUACUGGCAGGCCAUGAAAACCUUGGGAGUCCAGCGCCCCAAGUUGGAGAAGAAGGAUGCCAAGGAGGUCCCCAGUGCCACCCAGAGCCCCAUCAGCAAGAAGCGGAAGAAAAAGGGAUUCUUGCCAGAGACGAAGAAGCGCAAGAAACGCAAGUCAGAGGAUGGCACGCCAGCGGAGGAUGGCACACCUGCAGCCACCGGCGGGAGCCAGCCCCCCAACAUGGGCAGGAAGAAGAGGAACAGGACAAAGGCCAAGGUCCCAGCCCAGGCCCAGGCAAACGAGAUACCAACCACCAAGAGUCCAGCCCCUGGUGCCCCCACCCUGAGCCCCAGCACCCCUGCCAAAUCCCCAAAACUGCAGAAGAAAAACCAGAAGCUGUCUGAGGUGAAUGGAGCUCCCGGGUCCCCCGCGGAACCUGCAGGCCAAAAGCAGCAUCAGAAGGCUCUUCCCAAAAAGGGGGUCUUGGGCAAAUCACCACUGUCCGCGCUGGCACGGAAAAAGGCAAGGCUGUCUUUGGUCAUCAGGAGUCCCAGCCUGCUUCAGAGUGGGGCCAAGAAGAAGAAAGCGCAGCUGAGGAAGGCGGGGAAGCCCUGAGCACAGGUACAGGCCGCCCUCAGCCCCUGCCUCCAUCUGCCUGAGACUCCUAUUUUUUUUUUUAACCAUGAUUUUAAUAUGCAAGCUGUUUCUAAGGCGCCAGCUCUGCCACUGGGGAGGGUGGCUGUUGCCGCCUGCCCGGGCAUCCUGCUCUGGCAAGCACAGCCUGAGCCAUUCCUGCGGGGGUCCCAGGCUGCAGAGACCUCCCUGCCCCCGGUUCUGGGCUGGGACCCUGGCUCCAGGGCUCUGGUGUUCGCCUGGGUAGGUGCAGGUUGAUGCACUGGCUGCAGGCUGGGUACAGGUACGACCAUCUCUCGUGCCUGCCACCCCUUUGCCCCCAGGCUUUUUUGCUGUGAGGGAGCCACCAGGGGGUGAUUUAAAUAGGUUUAUUUCUUCAUUUACAAGAGGAAUAUAUUUGGCUUCUCUCUUAAGACUCUGAGAUUCACAAUCAGCAGCUCUAAAAAAUAAAGGAGCAGUUUGGCUUCCGGAAGGAAGAGGAGGCAACA
rnacentral:sRNA from 1 species